rnacentral:rRNA from 1 species
GCGUUGAAAAGCUCGGGGAUGACUUGUGGGUAGCGGUGAAAUUCCAAUCGAGCCCGGAGAUAGCUGGUUCUCCCCGAAAUAGCUUUAGGGCUAGCCUCAAGGUGAGAGAUACGGAGGUAGAGCACUGAAUGUCCUAGGGGGUAUUGCACCUACCGAAGACUAUCAAACUCCGAAUGCCGUCAUCUUAUACUUGGGAGUCAGACUGUGGGUGAUAAGAUUCAUAGUCGAAAGGGCAACAGCCCAGAUCGUCAGCUAAGGUCCCUAAAUGUAAGUUAAGUGGUAAAGGAUGUGGGAUUGCACAGACAACCAGGAUGUUGGCUUAGAAGCAGCCACUCAUUCAAAGAGUGCGUAAUAUCUCACUGGUCGAGUGAUCCUGCGCCGAAGAUUUCCGGGGCUACAACUUACUACCGAAGCUACGGCAUCAGUAAUGAUGUGUAGGGGAGCUUCCCAUACGGGUUGAAGCAUGACCGUAAGGACAUGGGGACAGUAUGGGAGUGAGAAUGUUGGCAUGAGUAGCGAGAUGUGGGUGAGAAUCCCACAGGCCGUAAACCCAAGGUUUCCAGGGGAAGGUUCGUCCGCCCUGGGUUAGUCGGGAACUAAGCGGAGGCCGAAAGGCGGAAGUGAUGGAAAAAAGGUUGAUAUACCUGUACUACCGAUAACCGUUUGAGAGAAGGGAUGACACAGUAGGAUAAGCUAAGCACACUGUUGGUUAUGUGUGCCCAAGCAUUGAGGCAGUCAAAGUAGG